AGUGGCUCUCAACCUUUCCAGUCUACUGCCCCCCUUUCAGGAGUCUGGUUUGUCUUGUGUACCCCCAAGUUUUCACUUCACUUCAAAACUACUGGCUUACAAAAUCAGACAUGAAAAUACAAAAGUGUCAGAGCCACUAGUACUGAAAAAUUGCUCACUUUUUGGA